UUUAGAAUUAUUUUAAGGAUUAGAAUUAAAUUAGAAUUAGAUGAGGAACUUCAUCAAAGAUAGAGCUCUUCUUCAAAAUUGGUUAUUACUUCUCUCCAUUGUCAAUUCCUUGUUGAAGGCUCAUCUUUAGUGGUUGAAGAGAUUUAAUUAUCUUCUCCACCCCUCAUAUCCUCUCUUUUCAUUUAAUUAUAAAUUCUUUGUUGGAAAA
rnacentral:lncRNA from 1 species